UCCGGGGUAGCUCAGUUGGCAGAGCAACGGACUGUUAAUCCGUGUGUCGUGGGUUCGAGCCCCACUCCCGGAGCCA
rnacentral:tRNA from 2 species